AAGAGCCGUAUGAACCGAGAGGUUCACGUACGGAUCUGUGAGGGCCUGGCGGGGAAGUUCCGCCGGGCUACUCGAC
rfam:Ricinus communis cultivar Hale ctg_1100012308108, whole genome shotgun sequence.